GCGAAAACUUUACAAUGCCGGCAACGGCGAUAAGGGGACCUCGAGUGCCAGGUUACAAAUAUGGCUGUCGUGAUGCCUAAAAAGCAUUGCAUAGCAAGGGCCGGGCAAGACCGGUGCCAGCCGCCGCGGUAACACCGGCGGCUCGAGUGGUAACCGUUAUUAUUGGGUCUAAAGGGUCUGUAGCCGGCCGGAUAAGUCUCUUGGGAAAUCCAGCAGCUUAACGGUUGGGCUUUCAGGAGAUACUGUCUGGCUCGAGGCCGGGAGCUGUGAGAGGUACUUCAGGGGUAGGGGUGAAAUCUGGUAAUCCUGGAAGGACCACCAGUGGCGAAGGCGUCUCACCAGAACGGACCUGACGGCAAGGGACGAAAGCUAGGGGCACGAACC
rnacentral:rRNA from 1 species